CUGGGCAUAAUUCCCAACUCCAGUGACAGUGCCAUCGGGACUGGCGCUGCUCAGAAGCAAGGUCAGGGCAUCCUCUUACCUGUGGCCACCAACACCCCCAGCAUCAUCCUGUUCAUCUCUACGGUCACAAAUAAUAAGAUCCUGGAAUGCAGUGAGACCCCAGCAUCGAAGCAAUGCUGCCACAUCCCACCUUCACUGCGAGGAAUGGGUGAGAAGUACAGAUGACAGCACCUUAUCCAAACAACUAUUCUAUGGGCUUCGUUGGUUCAGCAGGAAGGAGAGUGUCAUGUUAUCCCCAACAAUGCCCUAUGGAGAGAAGCCUGACAAGUAGCAGAAGGGGUAUAUACGCAGAGGUGUGGAAGACUGAAGUUAUGAUAUAAUUAUUCCGGAGGACACCUUUAAAGACUUCAGUGGAACUGGGCCACCUUGGAAGUUGAACUCCUCAUUCCCAAUUAAAGGAAACACACGUGGUCUGCCCCCAGGCUCUGGGUGCUUUCUCCAGUCUUCUUCUCAGCUUCCAGCAGUCACCAGUUCAGCUAGAUUCAGGAGUUUUUCCGUGCGGUGAAUUCAUUCAACGUGCAAGAGUAAACGCUGCACCCAGACCAAGAUUAACCGUGGCAAGGCUGGGCCGAAGUUGAACAGCACUCAUUCAGAUGAUAUAUAUGCUGGACAAAGAAGGAGAGAACAGAAAUAGGAAGGACAGCUUCUCAGGCAGAGGAUGGCAACCCGGCUGCUUAUCAGAUCCUAUCCCGCUGCAUCUUCAGCCUGGCUCAGGAUGAAAACUGUCUGCAGCAGAGAGGCGUGUCAGACACCUGAAGAAAAAG